CAAUAGCGUAUAUUAAAGUUGUUGCAGUUAAAAAGCUCGUAGUUGGAAUAGAAUAAAAGAAAAAUACAAUAUAAAGAGGUCAAAGAACUAAUUUAUAUUGAUAAUUUAUAUCUUUUUAUUCUUAAAUUUAAAGAAAAAGGUUUUUCUAUUUCUUUUCAUUUACUUUGAGAAAAUUAGAGUGUUUAAAACAAAUUAUAUUCUAUAUAAUUAUUGAAUACUUCAGCAUGGGAUAAUAAAAUAAGACAUUUUUAAAUGACCUAUUUAUUGGUAAACAUUAAAACAUUUAAUGAAUGUAAUGAUUAAUAGGAACAGUUGGGGGUAUUAGUAUUUAGCAGUAAGCGGUGAAAUGCUCGGAUUUGCGAAAGACUAACAUAUGCGAAAGCAUUUAUCAAGUAUGUUUUCAUUAA
rnacentral:rRNA from 1 species